CUUGACCGACCCCAGCAGCAACGGCCGGUCCCUGUCCUGGCCGUAGGUGGCCAGCAAGGCCUGCGCCUC
rnacentral:antisense_RNA from 1 species